rnacentral:misc_RNA from 1 species
AAAAACUCUACAAUACACACCCGUCUACAGUCUACACACAACUCAAACAGUUAAACAUGGAGAAGGAUUCAUCUUUGGACAGAAUCACCCUAGCUCUGUCGAAAUUAAAAUCGGAGUUGGUGAGUUACGAAGAAAAUAAAAUACUUUAACAUUUCUUUUUAUUAAAAAAAUCAUUAAAUUGAAAUUUUGCAUGGCUGAUCAAACAUUUUUUUUUAAUUAAUUUUUAUUAAUUUCAAUCGAUUUGGAUUAGAGAAGCAAAGUUUUUAUGAAACAGGGUUAUCUUUUCAGAUGGACAUGAGAAGUCAGGAUGUGAAGCUGAUGAAGCAACUGAUAUCCAUUAACAUUACCAUUGGCUCCAUGACCAAGAGUGGACACAGGAACCCGGUGUUACGUAGCGCCAGUGUUUGCUCCCUGAAGCCCCGGAGUAUGGAGCGGAUAGCCAACCGACGGAGCGCGGAAGUGACCACCUGUCUCCGGAACCCACUGGUCCGGCAUCGGAGUGCUCCAGUCAUGGUCCAGGGGGACGAGCGGGAUGAUUCCAACUCAGGUACACAGAUAUUUCAUGCAUCAAUUCGACCAUUCACUUUUUUACUUCUCUAUAUAUGUUCAUCCACUAGUUUUGUGUAUAAUUAACUACAGAUAUCAGACCCAUAAUAGCGAUUUUGAAGGGAGUAGGGAGUAAUUAGUCAAAAACUUUCCAACCAAAUGAAAUGAUUAUUGCCACUGUCACUAUAUGCCUAUAGCUUUUUCUGUAUUUUCUUCCAACUGCCCCAUAUAACCAUAUUUACAUAAAUUUUUAUUAGAAACUAAAAAUAGCAUUAAAAAGUCUGUUGUUUAGAUUCUGAAUUACAUUUUAUCUAUUAACAGACAUUGAAGACGUUGGCGCCAGCAGUCCCACCGAUUCAGAGAAUGACAUUGCAUCUCUGUGUUCUUCCGCAUCAUCCAUCAUAGCGUCCAAUCAGCUUACUCCUCCAUCAUACCUCCGACCACUUCCGGAAGAGGAGGACACGGACGACAGAAUGUAUUACGGAAUAUUAAUGAAGAACAUAAAGCUCUGGAAAUAUUCACAGGAGUCUAUUAAUAGCUCAGAAAGUGACAUCUCGAUUGACAGUUAAUUAAGCGUAGGAAAUGAUUAGCAAUUUUAAUGAAUGUGGUUUUUUAUGUGUGGAUAUGAUCAUAUGAAUCAUGUGCAAUAUUGACAAUUAGGAUCCGUAUACGUAAAUCAUCCUAUAUUCUCCCUGCAUCACUCGGCCAAGGAACCCAUAAUGCAGCAGACCACGGAGGAAAUAUCAGUGCAGGUGCGCGACGGCAUUGUCUUAUCAAUUG